rnacentral:rRNA from 1 species
UACGGAGGGUGCGAGCGUUAUCCGGAUUCACUGGGUUUAAAGGGUGCGUAGGUGGGAAUGUAAGUCAGUGGUGAAAUCUCUGGGCUUAACUCAGAAACUGCCAUUGAUACUAUGUUUCUUGAAUUUUCUGGAGGUCAGCGGAAUAUGUCAUGUAGCGGUGAAAUGCUUAGAUAUGACAUAGAACACCAAUUGCGAAGGCAGCUGGCUACACGAAUAUUGACACUGAUGCACGAAAGCGUGGGGAUCAAACAGG